UCUUAACUCUGGGGGAAUUUGAGGAU
rnacentral:piRNA from 1 species